rnacentral:rRNA from 1 species
AUGUUGAAGCAUGCUCGAGCAUCAAGGCAGUCAAGUACUUAUUCAAGUACAUCUACAAAGGGCAUGAUAGGGCAUCAUUUGCAUUCGAGCAAGAUAUUAUCAAUGAUGGGGGAAUCAUCAACGAAAUCCGACAGUAUAGCAUGCAUGCUAUAUAUCUCCUCCGGAAGCUAUUUACAAGAUAUCCGGCUUUAA